CGCGUAGGCGGACUGUCAAGUCAGUCGUGAAAUACCGGGGCUUAACCCCGGGGCUGCGACUGAAACUGACAGCCUUGAGUAUCGGAGAGGAAAGCGGAAUUCCUAGUGUAGCGGUGAAAUGCGUAGAUAUUAGGAGGAACACCAGUGGCGAAGGCGGCUUUCUGGACGACAACUGACGCUGAGGCGCGAAAGUGUGGGGAAGCAAACA
rnacentral:rRNA from 1 species